CUCAUCUACAAUAACAUCAUGAAUAAAAUCAAUAACCAAGAAUAAAAAAAGUACAAUAAUAAAUUUUAUUCUUCGAAUGUUGCCUAUUGCACGCAUGUUCUCCAUCUCUUGCUUCAUUCUGUUAAUCUUUCAAAGUAAUCCGGGGAUUAUUUGUGUUCACGUAUCACACAUUAGAGGAUCAUACCAAGCAAAAAACUGACAAACAUUCCUCUGUAAACAAAGAAAUUUUUAAUUUUAUGUGCAAGUAAAUAGAAUGGAAGAGAUAUAUAACAAAAUUGGAACCCUAACACACUUACUUUUUCAUAAUUUGGACAUGAGAUCCUGGAUUUGAAUCGGUCCAUGUUGUUUUAAGUUGAGCUCGCCUCUCACAAUCACAUAGUGCAUUCAUGGUUACAAAUACAAAACAAAAAAACACAAUAAAUCAUUUAUUUAUUUUUGAAUGCAAAUCAACAAUAAAUCAUUUAUUUUGGGUGCAAAUCAACAAUAAAUCAUUCAUUUACUGUGAACCUAUUUUUACAUCUUUUUUCUCCUACAUUUGCCCUUAGCACAUUUUUCUCUUUCUUCCCCUCCUCCCUUUACCAGCCUUAUUCACAAUAUUACAAGUAUUAACACUAGCAUCAACAUCAUACAAGUUUGACUACUGAAUUUGCAUUUUAGCAUGGAGAAAAUUAUUAGCACCUACAAUUAUUAAAGAAAAAAUAAUUGAGAACUAAGAAAAAUAUUAGUCAAAACAAUACCAACUAGAUUCAAC
rnacentral:lncRNA from 1 species